GCGUAGACGUUGUCUGACAUCUCAAACACUGUGUGUGGUAAAUUAACACAGACUGGGGACAGCUGUCAGAGAUUUAAGAAGCUCUGCCUUGUUCUUCUUCUUCUACAUCUGUUUUCAUUUCCUAAAACACAAACAAACCAAAAAAUACCCCGUCUUGUUCAGGAGUUCCAAUCAGAUCUCCUUCACCCCCAAUCCUGGUCUAACACACCUGCAGACUUUUGGGGACAGAUCCUUCAGUGUGGCAGCCCUCCCCCUCUGGAAGUCUCUCCUGGCAGAGAUCUGCAACACUGUAUCACCAACACAAAUGCAAAGCAGCUUGUGACAGGGAGGUCAGCCCGGUUCCCCGGUGAGCCCGGGAUACUCCGUGCAGCCGCACAAACAAACAGAACAAACAUUUCAAGGAAAGAGAGUGAAUUGAGAUCCGUUAGCUCAGGGGGGGGCGGCGGUGUUGUUCUGCUGGUGUAGCUCACUCGCCCAAACACGGACCAAUUUACCGGAGGAAAAUUGUGCUGUGGUUGAACAAAAAUAAAAAAAUUAAAUAAAUAAAAAGCA
ensembl:lncRNA